rnacentral:rRNA from 1 species
CCAUAACUCAGGGAUAGCCUUUCGAAAGAAAGAUUAAUACCUGAUAGUACUUUUUUCAAGGCAUCUUGAAAAAGUUAAAGAUUUAUUGGUUAUGGAUGGGGAUGCGUUCCAUUAGAUAGUUUGGUGAGGUAACGGCUCACCAAGUCUUCGAUGGAUAGGGGUUCUGAGAGGAAGGUCCCCCACAUUGGUACUGAGACACGGACCAAACUCCUACGGGAGGCAGCAGUGAGGAAUAUUGGUCAAUGGGCGAGAGCCUGAACCAGCCAAGUAGCGUGAAGGAAUGAAGGUCCUAUGGAUUGUAAACUUCUUUUAUUAGUAGAAUAAAGUGAGCCACGUGUGGUUUUUUGUAUGUAUACUAUGAAUAAGGAUCGGCUAACUCCGUGCCAGCCGCUGC